UCCGUUGUAGCCUAGCUGGUUAGGAUACACGGCUCUCACCCGAGAGCGGGUUCGAGUCCCGGCAACGGAA
rnacentral:tRNA from 1 species